UACGGAGGAUGCGAGCGUUAUCCGGAUUUAUUGGGUUUAAAGGGUGCGUAGGCGGUUCGUUAAGUCAGCGGUAAAAUUGCGGGGCUCAACCCCGUCGAGCCGUUGAAACUCGCAGACUUGAGUUGGCGAGAAGUACGCGGAAUGCGCGGUGUAGCGGUGAAAUGCAUAGAUAUCGCGCAGAACUCCGAUUGCGAAGGCAGCGUACCGGCGCCAGACUGACGCUGAGGCACGAAAGCGUGGGGAUCGAACAGG
rnacentral:rRNA from 1 species